ensembl:snoRNA
ACUUAACAAUGAUGUCAUAAUUUCCAAGCACAUACCUGACAAUUCUGUGUGGAAUUCAAAACAAGAAAAUGUUUGGU